rnacentral:lncRNA from 1 species
AGACCUGAUGCGGAAAAAAUAAGUAUAGAGAAUCUACAAAAAUGUGAGAAAAUUACCCCCUUAUCUUUUAAACAAAUAUCAAUGAUCAAAAAAAUACCAAUAAAUCAAGACAGGGAAGUUUGGAGAAAAAUUCCAUCAGGAAAUAUCUAUAGCAAGACAUUCAGAUAGUAGUUCAAACAAGGAUAGAAGAAAAUGGCAGAUUCAGUGAUGAAGAAAGAUUUUUUCCGGACAAACAACAAAUAAAUAAAAGGAAAUUAUGAAGGGUUGCAAAACACUCUGCCAAUUUCGGAAUUAGCAUGCACUUGUUUGAAGCUUGCUAUCAUUUUUCACUAAGGAAAAAAUCUUAUAGAACCUUAGAAUCAAGCUAUUCAAGCAGAAAAUGCACCCAUGCCAAACAAAAUUGAUUCUAAAUCACCCUAAGCUUUUCUCUACGUUAACAUUCCUAAAGAUCCAUAAUAUUAUAGUAUUUCAACUACUUCUUCCAAAGAAAGCUCAUGGACACAAAAAUUGCAAUGUAACGCAUUAUUCAUAUCAAAACAAGGAAAACAAGACUUGAUACAAUCGAAUAAAAACACAAGCUUUUAAUCAAAUAAAGAGAUUCAAGUAGGGAUUCGUAGAAUGGUAACAAGAUUAAGUCAAGUAGCAAAUGAAAGGAGAUCACCAAAGCCUAAAAGAAAACAAACAGGUGAGAUAUAACAAAGAACAUUCAGCAACAAGAUUACGAUUAUCCGAGAAGCACCAACAUGUUCAUCACAGAAUCCUACGGCUCAUCAAAGCCCCUAGCAACAAGCAACUCCCAAUAGAUAACAAUAUUUGCCGAAGGAUACAGUAGCAACCCCUAUAAAAACAAAGUUACGAUGACGACUAUAGCAACUACGAAGGAAAAAGAGAUGAGGCAGGAAAUGAUUAAAUCAGGAGGAAAACAAAGUGUGUUUACCUAUUUAAAAGUAGCAAACGGGACGGUGAGCUAAGGUCAAGAUGUGCAGCCACUAGAAAAUGACGUCUUCAUCACCUCACACCCAUAAUCAAUCAACGAACCCUUGAGGCUUCUGAUUAAACAGUCAGCUUUCAAAGAUGCAGAAGCGAGAUAACCUUACUAAAGAAGAUGAUGCUCUAAAAAAGUUUUCUUCUCCUUUAUUUCUUUCCAGAAUUUUUCAACCUAAAUUCCCCCGAGAAAAUCUUUUUAUUUUGAACCAAAAUUGACCAAAACCCAAUUUUUGAUCCUAAGAGCCUCAGAAAUUUUCCCGAACAAGGCCUUCAAACCCCCCAAAUAGAAAAGAAAAAAUCCCAAUUUUCCAAACCCUCCUUUUCGACCUCUCCCCCAAAAUCCUCCGGUACAAUGACCCCAGGGGUCUUUAUAUAGAAGACCAAUUAGGGGUAUUUUUGGUAUUUGAAAAAAAAAAAGAAAAAAUCUUGAAAUUCCCACUGGAAACCUUCAACAGCUUAGAUUUUAAUCCCCCAUUGGUACCAAUUUUUUCUUUGAAAUGGUGGACCAAUGAGAUUUAGGAAAAAUGAAUUCCCUCAAGAACCAAUAGAAAUCUAUCAAAUAUGUACAAAAUUGUAUCAUUGUUACUGAGAUUUGAGGAAUUGAUCAAUUGAGGGAGACACCUGGACUCAUUCUAGAAGAUUCUCGGAGCUUUUCGUAUGAAUUCGCGUGAGACACAAGGUGAAGAAUUGGGUCGGAUUGAUUUCAUGGUUUUCGGGUUGUUGUUGAGAUCGCUGACAGCUGUUGCUGUUUUAUUCGUGAUUUGGAAAUAUUUUGUCGCAAUUUUUUCUGUCGUGUUGUUUGAGGGAGAAUUGUUCUUGCUGAUUAGAGGAUAAAGGGGAUUUAUUGAUAUUGGGAAGGUUCAUUUUAUUAUCUUGGGCCUGGUUGAGCAAUUGGGUUGAUAUGGGUUAGCAACAUUUAAAAGAAAAAGAAAUGGACUGCUGAAAUUGGGUUAAAAAUUGGAUGGAUUAUAUAAUUUGAGAAUUUGGCCAAUUCAUUUAAGUUUUGGCCAAGUUGAAAAUUAAUUGGCCAAUUGCAUCGCGAUUGUGGCCAAUUUGAUUUCAACUAUGGCCAACUCUAAUAGAUUGACUAAAUUAAGUCAAAAUUCAAAAUGAAUUUAAUAUCUCCUUUAGCCCCGAGCUUCUUGAUACGAUAAAAUCAAGCAUAUAUUUAUUCAAAUAAAUUAUUUUUGACAAUAAAUUAUAUUUAAAUCAAGAUUUUGAUCAUUACAUUUAUAUUCAAAGAUUAUCAUUAAUUAAAAUUCGAUAUUGAUGAGAAUGUUCAUUUAAAUGAUAUCAUUUAUACAAUCUCGUAUAUGUAAAUACAAAAAUAUAUAAUUAUCACUUAAAUAACAAAUUUAGCCCAAAUACAUAUUUAAAAAUGCAUUUAUUUGGAAAAAUAAUUGUUGUGAUUUUAUUUGAAAAUCAAAGAAACUCGAGAUUUAAUGUAGUUGUGGAGGGAAAAAAUUAGGUGUCAACAACUUCCCCCUCCCUUUGGAUAGGGUGAAUGCAAGUAACCCUGGGCAAAAGGAGGUUGACGCUUUUAAUUUUUGUCCGACCAUAAAUUCGAAUCUGAAAAAGGUUAUUUUUUCGCACGAGUUUCAUAGAGUUAUGGACAAACCUCGGUAUCAAGUUUCCUACAUAUCUCGGGUUACAUGAGAAUUCAGUCCACUUGUAGGUCAUAAAACUUGUUUUUAAGCACAAUUUUCAAUAGGAUUCACCAUCUAUCUAGUUUUUGAAGUUUUUGAUGAAACCAAAAAGCCGGAGAAUAGAGAGAUCUGGUGGGAGGUUGGAAUGAAGUCGAUUUUUCAACCUAGAGCCCAGCCUACAUAUCCCUGAAACUCAGGGAAUCAGACUGCUUGUAGUUCGACUCAAUCGGUAGAAAAGACGGUCUUUAUUUCAGACGAUCUUUGGCUCGAGAUGAGUGACAAGUUAAUGAGUUAUGGAAAAGAAGCUUGUAACCUAUUAAACAUGAAUGUGUGAUCCUUCACAUCCAUAGGCAAGAACUUAUCUAGACAUAAUUUCCAAAACUCUAGGUGUCCCAUCACUCAAAUUUGAAAGAAAGAGAAGACUACUCUCAAUAUGAGUUUAGAAAUAUCUCAAAGGUGAAGUUGAAACAAGAAUAUUCCAGAAUACCUAAAUGCCUUCUAAUAGGGGUGUGGUUAGAUGGUGGUGGUGAUCAUCGUUUAGCUUGCAUCCAGAGAGUUUGACGUCCCUCUCUAGACUAUGUCCCAUUUUGCUGCUAAGAAAGAGUUCCACGUUGUGCUGCGUCCUAUCUAAAGUUUUCCACACCUGUGUCUUUGAUUUGAUAUUUUCAUCCUCUCGGAUGCUCUCGACAAUUCUUCAAGCAAAAAGUGUUAGUGCUAAACAUAAUUCAUGAAAGAGGUAUGUAGUCUUUUACCAUAUCUCCACGUAAGUUGUGGCCUAAAAAGCGGAUUUAUAUCUUCAUGUACCUAUUUGGAAUGAAAUAAAUGGAAAUAAAAAAAACAAUAACCCUCUUGGUUGUUGUAUAAUUAUGACAUUUGUCGGUUGAAUAUGUCUUCAAAGUGGGGUAGUCGACCCUUUUGGACACCGGCGAUACUUUAUGCAGAAUGGUCCCUACAACCAUGUAAUCUUGUGCUGGUGUGGAAACCCUUUUGGUUACCUAUAUCACUUAUUGUAUGUGGAAUGAUAACCUCUCCAUUUAUAGUCUAUGAUCGAUUUAUAAAUUUCCCUUAAAUUGUCAAUCUUUGGAUAAUCUUGCAUAUUAUUUGAUGUUAGAUACGAGGCGACUUACAGAUAUCCUAUGAAUUGCUAGCUUUUAGGUAAUCCUGUACAUUAUCCAUCCUUGGAUAAGAGAUGGCUUACAGAUAUUCUUUAAUCGCUAGCUUUUAGGUGUUCCUGCACAUCAUCCGACCUUGGAUACAAUAUGACUUAUAGAUAUUGCUCAAAUUGCUAGUCCUUGGGUAAUUCUGCACAUAAUCGAUCAUGGAUACGAUAUGGCUUAUAGAGAACCCUUGGACGUAUCAAUUUGAUAAUCUCGCAUAUUUUUUGGUAAGGAUUUAGUUGCGACAUGGAUAAACUUUAGAUUAUUAAUUUUUGGGCGAUCUUGCACACUAUCCGGUUAGGAUGUUGUUGUGGCUUAUGGAUGACCUAUAGGCUAUCAACUCAUAGGUGAUCUUGCACACUAUUCUAUUUCAAAUAAUAUGACUUAUAGAUGACCCUCAAAUUAUCAAUUUUUAGGAAAUUCAUAUAUCAUCCAUCUUUAGAUACCAACUUAAAGGCGUCCCUUCAAAUUGUGUGCUCUUGAUGCAUUCAGAUGCUGAUUUAUAAAAAGAUGAGAUAUCCUUGAUAAGAUAUUAAAUAAUGAUAAUAUCCUCGACGCCAGAAUUUAUGUCUUGUGGGUCAACAGAUAUAAAAUACUGAUGAUAUCCUCGACGCCAGAAUUUAUGUCUUGCAUGUCAACAGAUAUUGAAUGGUGAUGAUAUCCUCAAUGCCAGUGUUUAUUUCUUACAUAUCAACAGAUAUGAAAUGUGAUAAUAUCCUCGACGCCAGCGUUUAUGUCUUGCGUAUCAACAAAUAUAAAAUGCUGAUGAUAUCCUCGAUGCCAGCGUUUAUGUCUUCCGCAUCAACAGGUAUAAAAUGACCCUCUCGGCAAAUGAUGUGAAUAGCCCUCUCGGCAAUGCUAUGAAGUGACUCUCUUGGCAAUGAUAUAAAAUGGCCCUCUUGGCAAUGAUAUAAAAUAGCCCUCUUGGCAAUGAUAUGAAGUGGCCCUCUUGGCAAUGAUAUGAAAUGGCCCUCUCGGCAAUGAUAUAAAUUGGCCCUCUCGGCCAUGAUAUGAAUGGCCUCUUGGCAAUUUGAAAAUAUUUUCACCUGAGCUUGUUUGUCUGUGUCUUACUUUCUACAUGUACCUGUACUCAAGGUAGACGAUUAGUAGACACAAAGUCGCUUUUGCUAGCGACUAUUUUUUAGGAAAACUCUAAAUACAAUAUUUGUAAAGAAGACAAGACACUUUUGUUUAUCCUCCAUGAUCUCAAAAAGUGAGAUAGAAAAUUCAACAGGUCCUCAAUAAAUGGAUAUUAAACCCAUUUUUAGGGCUACCCAAAAAUACCGUUCUUGAGCAUUAGUGCUCUGGUGUGUCUCCCAAUUUGCUCGAGAAUUUUUGAAAGAGACUCUUAUUUUUGUGUAUUGGUCCCUGCAUCCACAGAAAAAUGAUUAGUUUGAGUGAAACUACUCCGUGUUGACCUUCUUCGAUUCUCCAUUUGCUCCACGCCAUCUUUUGGGUACUCCACUAUGUUGGUCCCUCCACCCUGGCUCUCUGCUCCUAUAGACGCCUAGGCAAUCACUAAGUAAAAGAUUUUGUAAAGAUUUUUCAAAAGUAGUCUUAUUUUUAGCAAAUAGUUUGAAAAGUUUCUAUAAAAGCUUUUGAAAAUCUCUGUCAGUCAUGUCACGUACUAGCUCAACGAACGUAUUCCUCUUAGUUUUGACUAUAUCCGAUGGAGGAGGUCCAGAACUCAUCAUCAUUAUUGGAGGGUUCUACAAAUGGUUUCGUCAUAGCACAAGAUUUAGUUUACCUAGACUUUAUCACAAGUGGUGAUUCUCAAAUCUCGACUUCGACCUCUAAUGCCGGGGAAUUUUGAAAUAUAUUUCAGUAUUUGGUGGAAAUUUUGAGUCCUCCCUCAAAAUUUUUGCCCCAGUUUAAAUUUGUUUGAUAUGAUGGCAAAUCGAGAGGAUCCAAAGUCUUUAUUGGUCUUCGUUCUCUUUGUUGGAUUAAGAUCUUCCUUUUAUGAAUUUUCGAGAUUUCUUCUCAAAACUUCUACCCCAGUUUCCAUUUCCUGGGGUUAUAUGACCGAGCCGUUGGGGUGCCUACGUAUCCCGUUGAAGCAGGAAUCAGGUCAAACGUAGUUCAAGACUAUACUAAGGAUAUAUAGAAAAAUCUAAUAGGUUGACCGAAGCCGACAUAGGCUGCCUACGUAUCUCAUUCUUGAGAAUUCAGGUCAUCACGUAGUUCAUACAUAAAAAAAAGGAUAAAUUUUAUUAAGGGGUUGACCGAAGCCAACAUAGGUUGCCUACGUAUCUCAUUCUUGAGAAUUCAGGUCAAACGUAGUUCGUACAUAAAGGGAAGGGGUUUUAGGCAAUUCCACAUCAUGAAAUUGAUACUAUUAUAAAGGUGAUUACAAAUAAACCAAGAAACAAAAACUAUAACAUCUUUCAAGAACAAUAUCUCUUUACCGCAUCAGAAUUAAUUGGUUUGGUCCACUCUUGACCAUCCAUCUCAGGUAGGAUUAGGGCUCCUCCAGGUUGGGCUUCUUUUGAUUUACACAUUCCUCUGUAUCUACUACUAACUGCUCCUCAUCACCUUUUCUAUUCAUCAUUAUUUCCUUUGCUUUGUUCGUCUAACCCUUCACAUGACAUGAUAUUGGCUGGUUUAUAAGUUAUUGCUACUAAAAUAAACCAUGCUAGAUAAUCAUAUUUUAAAAAAAAAAAUAACUUCAUAAAUAAAGGGAGGCCUUUUGGAAAAUAAAUAAAAACUAUAGCUCAUGACCCGCACAAAUGUGGACCCAUGCCUUUUUGAAAGUUGUAAAACACGAAACAAAAAUUUGAGACAUAAAAGGGUGGAUCACGGGGCCUUCUCCGGAUCAUCACCAGUUUUAAAAACUAUUAGUAAUUUCCCUUUUCAUCUACCAUGAUGGGUAACGGGUUAUGAGUGGAGUGGAGGUCCAGUUUUGCAAGGCCUCCUCUGAUACAAUCUUCUUCACCCCACAGGACUUUAGGAAAUUAUCUGGUAGAGCAUGGCAUCCUUCGAACAGAUCUCCUAUCUUAUCCCUAAGACCAUCAUCAUUUAACAUUUCAUGUAUGGGAAAUGACUGGUACAAGAGCGGCAAGGUCCUAAACAGACUCUCCUUCGAAUUAUCUUUGAUCUCAUCUUCCUUUCUUGGUUGGUAUCCUACUCCACUCUUAAAUGCUCUUUCCGGGACCAUAAUUUUCUCACUAAUUCCUUUCGAAUUCUUACUCAAGGCAUCCACAACUUUCUCUAUCAUUUCCACUCCUUCUGUCAUUUAGGAGUUUUGUGAAUCCACAUUAGCAAUUGUCUCGUUAGAUUCCCAUUCGCCUGCUAUUUUAAUCAUACUCACCGUGGCUCUCUCGUGAUUAGGCAAUGGGUUACUAGCAAUAUUUGGUGCUGGCGCCUGAAGAGUGAUGAUCUUCUGGUCAAUCAAGUCCUGUAUCUUGUGUUUCAGAUUGAUGCAAUCUUCAGUAUUACGCCUGGGAGCUCCUGAAUGAUAAGCAUAGACUUGAUUGGCAUGAAAGAAUCAAGAAUUUAGAUUAGUAGUCUUUGGUGGAAUAGGCUAUAAAUAAUCGACCUUCAUCAAUCUUUCAAAGAGAUGGGUACGACUUUCAACUAAUGGAGUAAAUUCUUUGGGAGGCUUCUUCUCGAGGCUUACACGUGGGUGGUUAUACUGAUUUGAUUAGCAGGAGGAGGUACUUGAUGAUAGUUUGGAGGCACGUGGACAUUUAUUUGAUUGUUUGGAAGGAUAGCUUGAACAUGAGAUUGAUAAUUUGGCUGCGGAAUUUGGCAAUGGGGUAAAAUAUUUAAAAUUGGAACUUGAUAUUGGGGAUGGGCAUAGAAUACAGGCUGAAAAUUUGGUGACGGUGGUGAGGAGAGAAUAUUCCUAGGCUUGAAUUUUCUCUUCAAUUUAUCAACAAAAUCAGUAGAGACCGCAGACACAUCCUCUCUUUUCUUCUUUGAGAAUGCAGAAGAUUCAGAUGAUGUUGGGGUUUUGGCAAUUUUUCCUGUUCGGAUGCCUUCCUGUAACGAUUCCCCAAUCUUUACUAAAUCUCUAAAAGUUUGUCAGACCGCGGAUACCAACUUGGUAUAAUAUUCUCCCUCCAGAGCACGAGAGAACACAGACACCAUUUCUUCCUCAAACAUGGGAGGUUGUACUUUGGCUGCUUCUUUUCUCCAACGGAAGGCAUAGUAUUGAAAACACUUAUCAUUCCUCUGCUUGAUCUGAUUUACUGAAUAUCGUCCAGGGACUAUUUCAAUGUUGAAUGCAACCUAUUAAGGAAACUUUUGGCCAAUGCCCUUCUACUAGUCCAUUUUUUCAGUUCUUGAGAUGUGAACCAAUCUAAGGCUUCGCCACUUAAGCUUCGGCUGAAUAAGCACAUCAAUAAUGCCUCAUUUUUGCCUACUCCCACCAUUUGAUCACAAUACCUUCUCAGAUGGGCCAUUGGAUUUUCGGUGCCAUCAAACACUUCAAAUUUAAGGACCUUAUACCCUUCUGAUAGAUCUACUCCUGGGUGAACACAUAAAUUAUCGUAACCUAACCCGUUGUUAUUCCCUGCUCCAUGAGAUUCCUUGAUCCUCAUGAUCUCUUUAUUCAUAGCUAGCAACUUUAUUUCAUGCUCGGUCCUUCACUUUUUAUCCUUCUCCUCAUAAUGGUCUACCUCAGGAUUAGGAAGGCAAUUAUAGAUGACAGGGGAUAUGAUAACAUGAGAAGGAUUUGGAAAGACGGCUUAAUUUUGUAGAUAAAAGGAAGUUGGUUGGUGGGUGGGGAGAACGUUUCCUAAACUGGAAAAGUUUUAUGGAAUUUGAGAGUAGCUUGGUGGGAUCUGGGAGGGAUUCUGCGGAUUUAGAAAUGAAGUUUGUGGGUUCGGAGAUAGAUUUGGCAGAUUUGGUAGAUUUGGGGAUGGAUUUGGUGGAUUUACCAAUGGGUUCUGGGGAUUUGGGAAUGAAUUUUAUAGAUUCGGAGAAGGAUUUUGUGGGGCGAGGGCUGGAUUUUAUGGGUGGUAAGCAUCUGAGUUAUUUUCACGGUUGUUAUUUUGGACAAGUUGAAGUGCAGAUAUGGACGAUAUGUUAUUUGGUUGAUCCCCGAGAAUAGGAGUACUGAGGGGAUGGAUUUGGAGUGGAGUCCCGGUCCUCCUGGAGCAGAAACAUUGACAGUGAUAGACAGGUUAGCCAAAUCUCGAGUACGAUUUAUUUUCUCCUGAAGCAUUUCGAGCUUUCUUGUGAGUUCCGCAAUCAUCUCACUCUGUUCUGCUAUUACAUUGUCCCUGAUGGUCAAUGUAUUUUCUCCAUCAUUUCCAGUCAUUAAUGAAUGAUGGUCAGAGGAUGGGAUUUUGUGCGCUUUUGACCAGGUAAAGUAAGGAUGUUCUGCCAGCUAAUUUCAACACGGAGUAAUUUUCUAUUAUCUGUAAAGUAAAACAACUCAAAGGCAAAUGUGUUAGUUUUCACAUGUGAUAAGCAAUGCAAAAUACUCGACAAGAAAUAGCCACGUAAAGUUGUUUGUAUCAUAGCCAAAUCAUUCCAUAGGAGCAUAGCGGAUAAAUUUGUCUUUGAUCCAACCAAACACAAAUAAACACAUAAUACAAUUAUAUCACAUAAGAACAUUAUACUAAUGCGUAUCCUAACUGGGGUGACCUUUUUAAGCCAAGGGUUUAGGCCUAAUGAUUUUUGAAGAAAAAUAUAUACUUGCUUAAGGUCAAUCCAUUAUCUCCCAACUUUUAUAGACACUAAAAGGGCAUAAAUGCCUACAAAAUAUAACAAAAGAGGGAUACAAUUUUUUAGGGAAAGGGAAAUAACAUGAAAGAAGACACGUACCCACACAGAGGAUAAGAAAUACUAAAUCCUGGGUGCUUCUUCUAUCAGCCUUCGCCUUGUUAGCUUCGUCCACUUCUUAUAUUGGCUACAUCCAUUGACGUUCAAACUGUGCCUUAGAUGCAACCUCCCAAAUCGAUCAAUUUCUUGCUCAACUUGCUUCAAUUCUUCUUAUAAAAGUAAGCAAAUCAAGCUUUUUACCGACCCCCAAAGGAUAAUAGAUUGAAUUAGACAGGCAUAUAUUUUCUUCAACACAUAAAUAUGGUUCAUCUAUAAUUGACUCGGGAUCAAUAAACGCAGGACAUGUGCUCUAAUAGGCCUAAUACCCCGCUCGGGUAUUGGGUCAUCCUAGACGCAUGCCUAAAAUAGGGUUUUGGUUUUGUUCUAUCCUAGGUGUCUAGAGUGUUUGAACAUUGGUUCUCAAGAGUACAACUUGAGUUUGAAAAUACGAACAGCCAUCAGAUGAAUCACGUGCUAAUAAGCCGUUCAUAUUUCCAACACAUUAUUGGAAUUGAACAAUAUGGGCCGGGACAUCCACGAAACCCCAAAACAGUUUAAAUAAUGCAGGAAUAUGCCAUGAGAUGCGGUAGUUAAACUUUACAGAAUCGAAACACAAAAAUAGUUAAUCAAAAGAUGAAAUCAAACAUUUGAUUAGAACCUAGUUAAAAAUCCCCAGCAGAGUCGUCAUUUCUGUUUUGAGGAGAAAUUUUUGACUUUUUGAGAGUCACCUCUUAAUUUUGAAAAUGAAUUAAGAAGCCUUUGAAAUGUACUUAGACGAUUCAAAAUAGUAAAAUCAUUUAAGUGUUGAAGAUUCUGAGUAAGCGGUUCUUAUUAACAUUUUAGGAAGGUGUUAGGCACCUAAAACGUCUGCUAACUUACGAUAAUCUGGACUGUUUGAAAAUCGUCUUUGAUUAACUUCGAAAAGAUUAAUUUUGUCUAAAAGCGAUUGAUUUUUUGGAAAUAUAGUGAUUUUGGAAAUAUUUUGGUGUUUAUACAAAACUAGUUUUUUAGCGACUUAACUGAAGAUUUAACUAGGUUCAUAAAGAACAUAAGGAAAAACAAAUAUAAGGAAUAGGGGGAAGGGGAGGAAGUAAGGGAUUUAGGCCAUUGACCUAAACCAACAAAACCUGUCCUAGUCUAGUUGGGCCUUCGACCCAUCACCCUGUCCUAAUCUAGUUUUUGAACCUUUGGCUCGAAUCUUGCUCCACCUGAAUUAGUUUUACAAGUUUGGCUUCGAGGCCCAAAUGAAUGAAUAAAGAAAUAAAUGGAUAAGUAAAGAUUUUUUCCGGACAAACAACAAAUAAAUAAAAGAAAAGUAUGAAGGGUUGCAAAACACUCUGCCAAUUUCGGACUUAGCAUGCACUUGUUUGAAGCUUGCUAUCAUUUUUCACUAAGGAAAAAAUCUUAUAGAACCUUAGAAUCAAGUUAUUCAAGCAGACAAUGCACCCAUGCCAAACAAAAUUGAUUCUAAAUCACCCUAAGCUUUUCUCUACGUUAACAUUCCUAAAGAUCCAUAAUAUUAUAGUAUUUUAACUACUUCUUCCAAAGAAAGCUCAUGGACAUAAAAAUUGCAAUGUAACGCAUUAUUCAUAUCAAAACAGGGAAAAGAAGACUAGAUACACUCGAAUAAAAAUACAAGAUUUUAAUCAAAUGAAAGAGGUUCAAGUAGGGAUUCGUAGAAUGGCAACAAGAUUAAGUCA